GAGGAUAUAGCUCAGUGGUAGAGUGCAUGCCUAGUGUGCAUGAGGUCCUGGGUUCAACCCCUAGUACCUCCA
rnacentral:tRNA from 1 species